rnacentral:rRNA from 1 species
AUUGAACGCUCGCGGGAUGCUUUACACAUGCAAGUCGAACGGCAGCGCGGACUUCGGUCUGGCGGCGAGUGGCGAACGGGUGAGUAAUGUAUCGGAACGUGCCCAGUAGCGGGGGAUAACUACGCGAAAGCGUAGCUAAUACCGCAUACGCCCUACGGGGGAAAGCAGGGGAGCGUAAGACCUUGCACUAUUGGAGCGGCGGAUUUCGGAUUAGCUAGUUGGUGAGUUAACGGCUCACCAAGGCGACGAUCCGUAGCUGGUUUGAGAGUACGACCAGCCACACUGGGACUGAGACACGGCCCAGACUCCUACGGGAGGCAGCAGUGGGGAAUUUUGGACAAUGGGGGCAACCCUGAUCCAGCCAUCCCGCGUGUGCGAUGAAGGCCUUCGGGUUGUAAAGCACUUUUGGCAGGAAAGAAACGUCGCGGGCUAAUACCCCGUGGAACUGACGGUACCUGCAGAAUAAGCACCGGCUAACUACGUG